UUUCGUUCGUAGCAAAAGAGGAUGAGAACCCCCGAAGGAGGUUUGAGCCGAGCGAAGCGAGACAACGUUGCGUCAGCAACGGCCCGCAGGGCGCUUCUCGCAGAGAAGCGUAAUCCUCUCUCGCCGACCA
rnacentral:sRNA from 1 species